AGCAGGCACGGUUACCCAUCAUCACUGUACAAUAUAUACCACUCUCACACUCUUCCUCUCUCAGAUCCCUUCUUCACCUUCUUCGUCUUUUUCUUUCUAAUCAUUUUAUUUUUAUUUUUCUCAAACCAGUGUCAGAUAUUCCAACAAAACAACGCCAACAACCAUCUUUCUCUUCCAUUAAUCGGUUUAGGGUCACCUCCUUCAACUUGUUCAUAAACAAAAAAAAAUUAAUAUUAAUAACCAACUUUUGCAUGUUCAUUUAUCUCUUCAGAUCGAUCCUCCUUAGCUUUUCGUUUUUUGUUUUAUUUUUUUUAUAAUUUUCUAUUUCCAUUUUCAAUUUCAUGCGUUUAUUUCCCGCUUACAGAAUCUGAAAAACUUUUUUCUUUCAAUGUGUUUCUAGGAAGAUUCGGCUGAUCCGAUCCAUUGCAACCGUGUGACGACGUCGCUUUUGUUGUCCGACUGGCUAUUUUCUGAAACCUAGUACUCGGUUGUAUUGUGAGAGUGAGAUCUAGUAAUAUAAUAAAAUAAGCUUGGAUGGAAAUUAUAUAAAUGAGUUUGCUUUAGGGAUUUGGAACUCAAACCCUAACAGAGAGUGAGAUGGGGAUAAUUUCACGUUCUUGUCGUUACGAGAUCGAUCUUUUAGAUCUGUGAAGCAGAAGAUCAGAGAUUGACAUUUUUUACCAAAAUCAGCUUUGCAAAAGUUAUAAUGGAACAGUUGAUUCACGUGUUCGUAGUUGCUCCGAAGGUUUGCUACUUGACCUAACCUAAAGCUAUUACAACAAGUGAAUAGUUGUGUGUACAUGGUCUAUUUGUGAUUUCUUUAGGUGCAUUAAUGGAAGAUGAAAAAGUAACACCUUUGGGAUUGUUUGAUCAACUUCCCUAUGCUCAAGCAACUUUUGCCCCAACACCGUUUUCUCUUAGCCAGUUGCAGGAUUAUGUCAUGGAAUUUGAUCAAACACGCUUAUUAAAUGCAGCACACUUAAUGGUUUUGGCUCAUGUUACUUGCAAGGAGGCAUUACGAGCAUCAAUCUCUGGUCAACUAAGGACUUCACUUCAGAACCUAAAUAUUGUGGAGGACUUCACUUCAGAUAGUAUAUAAAACUAUGUUGGUUGGUUCACAUGAAGCAAUUAUAUGUGUACUAGCUGCUCAGAUUGCUAAUCUUGGCGAAAGUGUGAUUGGUGCUACACUUCAAGAGAAGGAAGGCUUUAAAUGGGUUGGUUCACGAAAGCAAUCAACGAAGUUUUACUAUACGAGCUUGAUGCCAUCCACAAGGUCAUUAAGUUUGAUCAUGAGCAUGACUUCACACAAGAAUUUCCUCUUCUGCUUGGUAAGGGCGAUGAAUUGAACAUUGUGACACAGCAAGCCAAUUUAUGUGUUGCUCCUAAAGGUGGUGAAAAUGAGCUCAUGUUUUAUUCUUUAGAUGCUCAUAACAACUCAAAUUCUUCACAGUAUAUUUCUCAGGAAAGUAGCUAUAGUAACAAUAGCGAUUGUAGUGGUGAUGACACUGUCUUCAUUUGUCUUCAUAUGUUGACAAAUAAUGUAUGUGUAUAUUCCUUAGAUGAGAAACAUUUUCCCCUUUUGCUCCAUUGCUUGUUAACAUUGCAACCGAGGAUAGUGUGAAGCUAUAUCAAGAUUUGGCAAGUGACAAAUUGGAGAUUUUUGAAUGCAAUCAAAUGGAACCUGUUGUUUUUCCCGCCAAGAGGAAGCUUGAUGAUGUCCCUGUUAAAGAUAAAAUCAAAACAAAUCAGAGAAUCACAAGAAAAAAGCUCAUGUUUUGAAAGAUGUGUAAGGAUGUAUGAAGAACAACACAUGGUGCAUGAAGAAUGAGAAACAUGACAGCAACAGGGAAGAUGCAGAAGAUACAAAUGCAGGAUCAGAUGGAUAAAGCUCUAGUAAUAACAUGUCAGAGGAUGAUAACAAGAAAAAUAUUUGAGGAUUCUAUUUUUGCAAUUCACUCUAAUAGACAUCCGAUGAAGUUCAAUUAGUACUAUCAACUUGUUUAACAUAUAUAAACACUACACAAGUCAAAUAUUAUUUUUAUGGGAUUGUU